CCUCGGGAGGCAGCAGUGAGGAAUAUUGGUCAAUGGGCGCGAGCCUGAACCAGCCAAGUAGCGUGAAGGAUGACUGCCCUACUGGUUGUAAACUUCUUUUAUAAAGGAAUAAAGUGAGGCCCGGUUGCCUUUUUUUAUUUACUUUAUUAAUAAGGAUCGGCUAACUCCGUGCCAGCAGCCGCGGUAAUACGGAGGAUCCGGGCGUUAGCCGGAUUUAUUGGGUUUAAAGGGGGCGUAGAUGGGUUGUUAAGUCAGUUGUGAAAGUUUGCGGGUCAACCGUAAAAUUGCAAUUGAUACUGGCAGUCUUGAGUACAGUUGAGGUAGGCGGAAUUCGUGGUGUAGCGGUGAAAUGCUUAGAUAUCACGAAGAACUCCGAUUGCGAAGGCAGCUUACUAAACUGACACUGACAUUGAUGCUCGAAAGUGUGGGUAUCAAACAGGAUUAGAUACCCGGGUAGUC
rnacentral:rRNA from 1 species